rnacentral:rRNA from 1 species
CGGACGGGUGGGUAAUGUCUGGGAAACUGCCCGCUGGAGGGGGAUAACUACUGGAAACGGUAGCUAAUACCGCAUAACGUCGCAAGACCAAAGAGGGGGACCUUCGGGCCUCUUGCCAUCGGAUGUGCCCAGAUGGGAUUAGCUAGUAGGUGGGGUAACGGCUCACCUAGGCGACGAUCCCUAGCUGGUCUGAGAGGAUGACCAGCCACACUGGAACUGAGACACGGUCCAG